ACAUUUUAAUGAUGCACGUUUUUAAAAAUCUCUGUUAUUAAAAUUAUGCACGUAAGGAUAACUCAUGAGUUUUUUUGGUUGAUUAAAUGACAUUAUGUCCAAAUUUAUUUAAGGAUAUUUCAUUAUGGUAACUGAAAAAAACAAACAAUAAAAUAGGAAGUUUAAUUCAUUUAAGCAUAUUUCAUUAAUGUAACUGAAACGACAACUAAUAAA
rnacentral:lncRNA from 1 species